UUUGGUCCAGAUUUAGACGUCAGUCUUUCCCAGACAUCCAGACCCAGCUGUCCGAAGCUGCCUGCUGCUGCUCCCACUCCCUUGUCUCCUCGUUUUGUGUCCGAUUCUUCCUUCUUCCGUUCCUCCCCUCCUCUGUCCUUCUUCACCAUGUGUGGACUCUUUCAUCACCUCUUUAUCUGACAUGGUGGCAGAUCUCCACAGAUGUUUCAGGGCGACCGUGUGUCGGAGUCUCGCAGUCUUUUGUUUUCAUGCCCUUGUUUUUACCUGUCGGUCUGGUUCCACAGAGGCAGACGGCCUGUUCCUCUUCCCCAGCCAUGGAGCCUCUUCCUGAGGUUCCGUUAUUUCAGAUGUACGAGGAUGAGGAGGAAGAUGUUUCCGCACUGAAGAGCAGAGGUGGCUGUACGUAUACUGGGGCGCCCCCUGCAGACACAGACCCUGACACAUUCAUAUACAUGAACUUCAUGAAGAGUCACUGCUGCUACGACGCCAUCCCUACCAGCUCCAAACUGGUUAUCUUUGACACAACGCUACAGGUGAAGAAGGCUUUCUUUGCUCUGGUGGCUAAUGGUGUGAGGGCAGCGCCUCUGUGGGACGACAAGCUUAAGUGUUUUGUGGGGAUGCUGACCAUCACCGACUUCAUCAACAUUCUUCAUCGAUACUACAAGUCUCCUCUGGUUCAGAUCUAUGAGCUGGAGGAACACAAGAUAGAGACAUGGAGAGAGACCUAUCUGCAGUACUCCAUUAACAGACUGAUCAGCAUUACUCCUGAAUCAAGUCUGUUCGAUGCCAUCUACUCUUUGUUGAAGAAUAGGAUCCACCGCCUGCCGGUCAUCGACCCGGCAUCAGGAAACGUCCUUCACAUCCUCACUCACAAACGCAUCCUCAAGUUCCUCCACAUCUUUGGAUCCAUGAUUCCCAAACCCAGGUUUCUUCAGAAGCAGAUCAGUGAAGUGGCAAUUGGAACUUUCAAAGAAAUUGCGACGGUGCAGGAAUCGGCCUCCGUGUACGAUGCCCUGACGAUUUUCGUAGAGAGACGAGUGUCGGCUCUGCCUGUUGUCAAUGAGCAAGGUAAAGUGGUGGCGCUGUACUCCAGGUUUGACGUCAUUAAUCUCGCAGCCCAGAAAAACUACAACAACCUGAACAUGACGAUGCGGGAGGCUGUCGCCUCCAGAGCCUGCUGCAUGGAGGGAGUCCUCAAGUGUUACCCUUAUGAAACACUGGAGACCAUCAUCGACCGCAUUGCAAAGGCCGAGGUGCAUCGUUUAGUGUUGGUCGACAGUGACGAUGUGGUGAGAGGGAUUGUUUCUUUAUCGGACCUCCUACAAUCCCUGGUCCUCACUCCUGCAGGUAUUGAUGCUCUGUACUCCUAACUCCAACCCCUCCAUCCAUCCGUUGCUCUGUCUCUCAGUCCCUCUGUUCACCCAGCUCUCUGCCCGACCUACGCUCCUGCCUCCUACUGUGAACGCAAUGGUCUCCCACCUGCCAAACUCUUCUUCAUCCAGUUUUUCAUUCUCCUGAAGACUGAGGGUCUUUCUUCUCUACCAGUGAAGGUUUCUGGUGUCAAAGCUCCAGCCUCUGCCUGUUUCCUCCUGAUCCUUUGAGCUUUUUAUAUUCCUUAUCCAAGAACCUCGUCCUGCUCCUCCAAGAUCAACCUCCUUUGACAUCUUCAAACCCUCUGAACAACUAGCCUAUUACUAUUAUCAAACAAAGCACCUCCCCCAAGACCUCAUUUGGAAUGGUGCACUCUUGCCUACGCCCUUGCUCCUCCUUUAAAAGUCUCUUCUGAAGCAUCAAACGGAAUAAUUCAUGUUCCCCAAGCCUGCUUUGAUAUGUUCUACACAAUCAACAAAGAUCUUCUCUAAAACCCUUCAGAUCUGGAUGGUUCCUUUGUGCUUAUAAUGCCCCAUCUUCCACACAAACUUCAAAAAUCUACCAUACCAAAAUCCUAUCAUCCUACCGAACAUCCGACCUUCAUCUGAAGUUCCCACCAAUCAGCUUUUCACCUCAUCCUCUCCGUUCUCAGACGUCUCCGACACUUUCCCCCAAACUUCAAUCCGUCCGGCAGCAUCUUCAUACUGCAGCGCCUUUUCAGAAACCAACAAGCUUUUAUCCAACACAACUCAGAUAUUAACAGUCUGAGAGUUCGUCCCUUUGACCCUGAAGAAAACCAGGUAGAGACGAUUUGUG